UUCCGGUUGAUCCUGCCGGAGGUUACUGCUAUCGAGGUUCGACUAAGCCAUGCGAGUCGAAUGUAGCAAUACAUGGCGAACUGCUCAGUAACACGUGGACAACCUGCCCUUAGGACGGGGAUAAACCCGGGAAACUGGGUAUAAUACCCGAUAGGUCUCGAUUGCUGGAAUGCAUCGAGAUUUAAAGCUCCGGCGCCUAAGGAUGGGUCUGCGGCCUAUCAGGUAGUAGUGGGUGUAGCGUACCUACUAGCCUACGACGGGUACGGGUUGUGAGAGCAAGAGCCCGGAGAUGGAUUCUGAGACACGAAUCCAGGCCCUACGGGGUGCAGCAGGCGCGAAAACUUUACAAUGCCGGCAACGGCGAUAAGGGGACCUCGAGUGCCAGGUUACAAAUCUGGCUGUCGUGAUGCCUAAAAAGCAUUGCAUAGCAAGGGCCGGGCAAGACCGGUGCCAGCCGCCGCGGUAACACCGGCGGCUCGAGUGGUAACCGUUAUUAUUGGGUCUAAAGGGUCUGUAGCCGGCCGGAUAAGUCUCUUGAGAAAUCCAGCAGCUCAACUGUUGGGCUUUCAGGAGAUACUGUCUGGCUCGAGGCCGGGAGAGGUGAGAGGUACUUCAGGGGUAGGGGUGAAAUCUUGUAAUCCUUGAAGGACCACCAGUGGCGAAGGCGUCUCACCAGAACGGACCUGACGGCAAGGGACGAAAGCUAGGGGCACGAACCGGAUUAGAUACCCGGGUAGUCCUAGCCGUAAACGAUACUCGCUAGGUGUCGGCCACGGUGCGACCGUUGUCGGUGCCGUAGGGAAGCCGUGAAGCGAGCCACCUGGGAAGUACGGCCGCAAGGCUGAAACUUAAAGGAAUUGGCGGGGGAGCACCACAACGGGUGGAGCUUGCGGUUUAAUUGGAUUCAACGCCGGAA
rnacentral:rRNA from 1 species